GUGCAGCAGGCGCGAAUUUUGGGCAAUGGCCGAAAGGCUGACCCAGCGACGCUGCGUGUGGGAUGAAGCCCUUCGGGGCGUAAACCACUUUUCAGAAGGACGAGGGUUCAUCCGGCGAAUACCCGGACGGAUUGACGGUACUUCUGGAAUAAGCUCUGGCUAACCCCGUGCCAGCAGCCGCGGUAAGACGGGGAGAGCAAGCGUUGCCCGGAAUCAUUGGGCUUAAAGGGGGCGUAGGCGGUUAGGUGUGUCAGACGUGUAAACUAUCGGCUCAACCGAUAGCCUGCGUUUGAAACUACCUAGCUCGAGGGCGAAAGAGGAGAGCGGAACUCCC
rnacentral:rRNA from 1 species